rnacentral:rRNA from 1 species
AACUAACGCUGGCGGCGUGCCUAACACAUGCAAGUCGUACGAGAAAGCCGGCUUCGGCUGGUGAGUAAAGUGGCGCACGGGUGAGUAACGCGUGGAUAAUCUGCCCUUAAGUGUGGAAUAACGUACCGAAAAGGUGCGCUAAUACCGCAUAAUGCCUGGCAACACAAGUUGUCCGGCCAAAGAAGGCCUCUGUUUACAAGCUUUCGCUUCAGGAUGAGUCCGCGUACCAUUAGCUUGUUGGUGGGGUAAUGGCCUACCAAGGCUGCGAUGGUUAGCUGGUCUGAGAGGAUGAUCAGCCACACUGGAACUGAGACACGGUCCAGACUCCUACGGGAGGCAGCAGUGAGGAAUAUUGGUCAAUGGGCGGAAGCCUGAACCAGCCAUGCCGCGUGCAGGAUGACGGCCCUACGGGUUGUAAACUGCUUUUCCCCGGGGCGAAUAACCCCCUCGCGAAGGGGGAUGCCGGUACCGGGGGAAUAAGGAUCGGCUAACUCCGUG